rnacentral:lncRNA from 1 species
AUGGGCAAUCAGGUAUCAGAAUUCAUCGAUAUGUAACCCUGAUCGAAAAGUCCCAACCAGUGGGACUCUUGACCCCGGUACCCAUAAUGUGUGGAACUCAUGAUUAGAGAAUCCUGAUUCUCGAUCACUGAGUUCCAAACAUGUAGGAUUCUACAUCAGCCAUCAGAUCAGAUAGGAACCUCUAAUGUGUGUGACCCCGCAGGUUCGAACCUAAGCCGGUAGCACAGGAACCAAUUACUGUACUAAUCGAAGUGACCAUCUAGCAAUGGUACCCAACGUCCGGAU